UGUCGUUAGUUGCCAGGCAUGUUAUGAUGGGGACUCUAACGAGACUGCCUACGCAAGUAGAGAGGAAGGUGGGGAUGACGUCAAAUCAUACCGGCCCUUACGUCCUGGGCCACACACGUGCUACAAUGGUAUGGACAAUGAGCAGCCAUCUGGCAACAGAGGGCGAAUCUACAAACCAUAUCACAGUUCGGAUCGGAGUCUGCAACUCGACUCCGGGAAGCUGGAAUCGCUAGUAAUCGGAUAUCAGCCAUGAUCCGGUGAAUACGUUC
rnacentral:rRNA from 1 species